AGCGAACGCUGGCGGCAGGCUUAACACAUGCAAGUCGAGCGGGCAUCCUUGUGGUGUCAGCGGCAGACGGGUGAGUAACGCGUGGGAACGUGCCCUUCGGUUCGGAAUAACUCAGGGAAACUUGAGCUAAUACCGGAUACGUGCGAGAGCAGAAAGGUUUAUCUGCCGAAGGAUCGGCCCGCGUCUGAUUAGCUAGUUGGUGAGGCUAUGGCUCACCAAGGCGACGAUCAGUAGCUGGUCUGAGAGGAUGAUCAGCCACACUGGGACUGAGACACGGCCCAGACUCCUACGGGAGGCAGCAGUGGGGAAUAUUGGACAAUGGGGGCAACCCUGAUCCAGCCAUGCCGCGUGAGUGAUGACGGCCUUAGGGUUGUAAAGCUCUUUUCUCCGGGACGAUAAUGACGGUACCGGAGGAAUAAGCCCCGGCUAACUUCGUG
rnacentral:rRNA from 1 species